rnacentral:lncRNA from 1 species
ACCAAUUAUGUCUGUUUGUUUUGUUCACACAUUGUUGUCAAUAUGAUGGAAUUGUAUUCGACUGUCAUACAAGUGAGAGGUUUAGCUAGCUAUAAAACCAGCUUAAUCCACCAUUUUCUACAUAUGAAAAUGUCUGUACCAAGUCAGGAAUAUGACAGUUGUUUUCCAUUCGUUUGAUGUGUUUGAGCUUUUCAUUUUGCCAUUUGA